rfam:Schistosoma mansoni strain Puerto Rico chromosome 1, complete genome
AUCCAGCUGACGAGUCCCGAAUAUAAAGAAACACGCGUCCUGGAU